UACAGAGGGUGCGAGCGUUGUUCGGAAUUAUUGGGCGUAAAGGGCGCGUAGGCGGUGCGGUAAGUCACCUGUGAAAUCUCCUGGCUCAACUGGGAGCUUGCAGGCGAAACUGCCGUGCUGGAGUGUGGGAGAGGUGCGUGGAAUUCCUGGUGUAGCGGUGGAAUGCGUAGAGAUCCGGAAGAACACCGGUGGCGAAGGCGGCCUGCUGGGACAGUGCUGACGCUGAGGCGCGACAGCGUGGGGAGCAAACAGG
rnacentral:rRNA from 1 species